UCCGGUUGAUCCUGCCAGAGGCCGCUGCUAUCCGGCUGGGACUAAGCCAUGCUAGUCUAGGGGCUUGUACUCCUUCGGGGGUGCAAGCACCGGCGGACGGCUCAGUAACACGUGGACAACCUGCCCUCGGGUGGGGGAUAACCCCGGGAAACUGGGGCUAAUCCCCCAUAGGUGAUGGGUGCUGGAAUGCCCCAUCUCCGAAAGCGCUUAGCGCCCGAGGAUGGGUCUGCGGCGGAUUAGGUAGUUGGUGGGGUAACGGCCCACCAAGCCUAAGAUCCGUACGGGCUGUGGGAGCAGGAGCCCGGAGAUGGACCCUGAGACAAGGGUCCAGGCCCUACGGGGCGCAGCAGGCGCGAAACCUCCGCAAUGCGGGAAACCGCGACGGGGUUAGCCGGAGUGCCCGUGCAUUGCACGGGCUGUCGGGGUGCCUAAACAGCACCCCAUAGCAAGGGCCGGGCAAGGCCGGUGGCAGCCGCCGCGGUAAGACCGGCGGCCCGAGUGGCGGCCACUCUUAUUGGGCCUAAAGCGUCCGUAGCCGGCCCAGUAAGUCCCCCGGGAAAUCUGGUCGCUUAACGAUCAGACUUCCGGGGGAUACUGCUGGGCUAGGGACCGGGAGAGGCCG
rnacentral:rRNA from 1 species